UACGGGGGGGGCAAGCGUUGUUCGGAAUUACUGGGCGUAAAGGCGCGUAGGCGGCCUUCGUAAGUCAGACGUGAAAUCCCCAGGCUUAACUUGGGAACUGCGUCUGAUACUGGGAGGCUUGAGUGCGGGAGAGGGAUGUGGAAUUCCAGGUGUAGCGGUGAAAUGCGUAGAUAUCUGGAGGAACACCGGUGGCGAAGGCGGCAUCCUGGACCGACACUGACGCUGAGGCGCGAAAGCUAGGGGAGCAACGGGG
rnacentral:rRNA from 1 species